AUGCUCCGCCGCGCGGCCUCCUUGCUACGCGGGCGCUCGGCCUGGAUCCCCCGCCGGCCAGUGGCGGCCGCGGCGACACUGGCCCGACGCCGCCCGGAGCCGGAGGCCCGCCCCCGCGCCGUCGAGGGCCGGGGCUACGCGCGCAUGGCGCGGCGGAUGCCGCCCACGAGGCCUGACGGGUACUCCACCUCCGACGGGGAGGCCGACGCCUACGGAGACGUCGAGGACCUGGAGCCGGCGGCCGCCGCGGACGGCGAGGAGGACGCCUCCGAUGGGGAGGGGUGGGACGGGUUCACGCUGGACAUGGGCGCCGGAUCCAUCGUGGACAAUGACGAUGAGGAAGAGGAGGAGGAGGAGGAAGAGGAGAAGUAA
rnacentral:rRNA from 1 species